rnacentral:rRNA from 1 species
CCUACGGGUGGCAGCAGUAGGGAAUCUUCCACAAUGGACGCAAGUCUGAUGGAGCAACGCCGCGUGAGUGAAGAAGGUUUUCGGAUCGUAAAGCUCUGUUAUUGGUGAAGAAAGAUAGAGGUAGUAACUGGCCUUUAUUUGACGGUAAUCAACCAGAAAGUCACGGCUAACUACGUGCCAGCAGCCGCGGUAAUACGUAGGUGGCAAGCGUUGUCCGGAUUUAUUGGGCGUAAAGCGAGUGCAGGCGGUUCAAUAAGUCUAAUGUGAAAGCCUUCGGCUUAACCGGAGAAUUGCAUCGGAAACGGUUUAACUUGAGUGCAGAAGUGGAGAGUGGAUCUCCAUGUGUAGCGGUGGGAUGCGUAGAUAUAUGGAAGAACACCAGUGGCGAAGGCGGCUCUCUGGUCUGUAACUGACGCUGAGGCUCGAAAGCAUGGGUAGCGAACAGGAUUAGAUACCCUGGUAGUC